GGGUAGAUAGCUCAGUGGUGGUGCACAUGCUUAGCAUGCACGAGGUCCGGGUUCAAUCCCCAGUUGCUCCA
rnacentral:tRNA from 1 species